AGGUGAAGUUGAGGGACCGGAAGAGGAGGUGGGGCCGUCUUCAUCUUCAUGGCACCAUGCUUGCAAACCGACAGGGGGUGUGGCCAUGUGGUGUGGGCGGGGCCUCUGACUCAGCUGAGAGGAGAAAACACAUGGCUAACCUAAACCAGGAUUCUGGACCAGACUGGAAGCCUGUUAUUUAGAAGUUUCACGAGUACCCUCCAAGACUGGUCCCCACAGGAGCAUCAAUACAUGAACACACACACACACACACACACACUCAGAGGAGGCCUGACCAGCGUGGGCCCCAGGCUCAGCGUGGGCCCCGGGGUCAGCCGGGCGCCGAGUCCCUCGCAGACGGCAGAGAGGAAGGAGAGCAGCGCCCCCUGCUGGCCGGCGGGGAGCAGCAGCGGCGGGCGCAGGCGAAUGCAGCUGAGCGGGUACCUGCACCUGGCUGAGGAAGCGUGCCGACACUUUGGCGUGACCUUUGACCUUGGCCAGCGGGGAAGGAUACGUGAAGAGUCUGUGGCCCAGAGGCAGGAAGCGCACGCUGCAGUAGACCAGCUCCGAGUCCGAGAGCUCAGGCAGCCGGUAGCCGUACUAGAGUGGUCACAUGGCUCAGGCCAGGCGGUCAUAAUGUGAGGGCAGUGUGUCAGUACCAAGCGGCUCCAGUGGUGCUGCAGCUCCCUAUAGGACUGGAAGGGUCCGUGGGUGGGCAGCUGCCGGCUGACGCUCACCACCUGGCCCCGCUUCAUGCUGAGCACAGGCACACAGACAACACUGACCUCUAGCGGCCGCCGUUUGGCAUCAUGUCGCAUCACUGCCAACAGAGGCCGAGAGUGUCCGCCGCAAGUUCGGGGACUGGAACCGGAUGUUAGAAACACGCGUGCGCAAGCUCUACAAAUUGUGUUUACUGGUUAUAUGGCGUAAGGUUGUGGGGUUUUCUUUGAAUAGUUAGUCAAAAGAAUCUAUAACAGUAAAACCUGGAAAAGUUUCUUUUUUUACGCGCAUGUGUCAGUAGGAUCUGGUCCGUCUGCCUGAUGAUGAUGGUGCUGGAGCAGGAAGUUACCGACUGACCGGCACACAUGCAAUUAUGUGAAUUGAUUAUUUGUUAAUAUUAAAAUAAUCUAUAUUUGUCAUUGUAAUCUGGAGAUUGUCCAUUUCUAUCUGCUAUUAAAUUUUUUAAUCCAGUGUUAUUGAGUCAUCCAUCAUUUCAAACCCCUCCGGCACAUUAGACCUGAGCUGCGCAUGGCCUCCGAUACAAUAGGGAGUGUGUGGGAAACAUUUGUCUCGUAUUGAUUUAACAGGAGCAGGAGGGAGCUCAUCUGCCCCUGAACCAGGUUUAUGUCGACCGUGGUGCGGCGCUUCAGUCCGUCGAUGUCGUUGGAUUAAAAAAAAACAAAAAACUAGAUCAUAUAAAAGAUACAAUUUCUUCAUCUAGACUCUAGAAGUAAAGUUCAUCGCCUGCGCGCAAUAUAACCACGGACGCAUGCGCUUACCGGUAAAGGUCAGUUGGUAAAACAUGCACAACUUCCGGUUCCAGCGCCAGAACUUCCGCCGUGUCACUGCCAGAUGCGGUCCGCCGGAAGUUCCGGGUCUGGAACCGGAUGUUAGUAACACGCACGCGCAGGGUCUACGAAUUGUGUUUACUGGUUAUAUUGCGUAAAGUGGUGGGUUUUUUUAAAUAGUUGUUAAAAUAGUGUAUAUUUAACAUUAAAAUCUGGAAAUGAUACAUUUUAGGCGCAUGUGCAAGUACGCAGUAUUCACUGUGUACGCGUCCAAGUUUUGAGCGUAAUGACGUCACCACGUCGUCACAGUCAAACGUUCUUGUUGCAGCAGGUUCAGUUCUACUUGUGUCCGUCAAGUUUCACCUGCUUCAAAUGAUGAAGAGAUUUUCUCUGAAACGGAAUCAUUGACUGCAGCCUGUCAAAGCGCCAGAGGAAAGACAUACGCCGUUCAUCAUGCAGUUUUGCAUUGAAAGCUCUGAUAAUUGCACGGUUUUAACUCGCGAAAUUUGUCCUUUUCAAAAUACAAAUGACGGUGUUCGUAUUUCAAAUGCCUUGUUUUAAUGUUCAGUAUCAUUAUUGUAAUUCACUGUGCACUUGAUACUUUUUUUAAACUUUUGUUUUAUUUGUAUUUACUUAGUUUUCAGUGUCCGACUUCAAUGAAAAUAGUUCAACCCUGCUUAUGAAUUGAAUGUAUACACUUCAAUAUACUGAUGUACUCUAUAAUUGGUCUGAUAGAUGGAUGGUGUAAAGUCAUGAACAUUUUCAAGGCUUCUCCACUGACUGAGGGACUGAUGAAGGAUGUCAAAUCUAAAGCUGAAUCUCAUCAUGGCUUUGACCAGACGGCAGCUUGUUCUAUACGGGAUCCCACCCACAAUAGCUCCGGUGAGUGGUGUUGUCCGAGGAAGAAAAGAGGUCCAUGAGCAGCGUGGAAGAGGAAACCAUGGAGGUUUGAGGGCGAGCAGAGACAGGCUUGUUUCUGGAUCCACCAUGUUCCAUGGCUCUGGAGCUGUCCUCAACAAUCGUCCACAAACCACUGUGGCGUUCUGAUGAUCAUGGCGUGGCCAGUGCUUUGCCUGCUGGACACCAGAGGCUGUCGACCGGAGGGUGGACUUGAGCCUCUUCUUCGGCUGCCUCGCAGAAAGAUCAGCAGCAAGACACUUUGGGUCAUUGAGUCAUGGCAAAAAUCUGGCUUCAUCAACAGUGUCAUUCCAAUUGAUGGUAUUUGACUGGCUCACAGGAUCAGGCCAGAACUGGACAGGAUCUCCACCUGGCUGUGCAGUGGAUACAUGAAAAUCCAGGCAUAACAUUAGUGGAGAACUGAAGAGACCCACUUUCCAUGCCAUGUCUAACAAUGAGCAGAAAGAGGCAGUGAGACGUCUGCUGGAGGCCAAUGACAGUGGCGAUAACCAUGAUGUCAUCAGUGCCAGGCAUCCUGUCAUGUUUGUGGUGAACUGCAUGGAGGAUAUGCGAGUGUUGUGGCGUGAAUGUUGGGAUCAGAGAGGCUUGAAGGUGAAUGUGUUCAAGCCGAUAGUAAGUAGGUGCAUGUUGUCUGUUUCAUCUGUUGAAUUCUGUUCAGUCCAAAUGUUUGGUGGCUGUAGAUGAAGUU